GCAUUCAUGCCUCAUGGACACCAUCUCCUUUUAUCAUUGUGACAACCUAGAAAGAAGGAUCAUCCCUGAGCAAGAGGCCUGUGGGUGAGAAACAGAAGCCCAGCAUCCAAACACAACACUCAGCUUUGUCAGUUGAGAGCCCUCCCUCCUGCCACAAACACACAUGCUCCAACAGCCACACUCACACAUGCACAGACACAAACGCAGGUGGCUUUUCAUUCCACAGGCAUGGACUGAACCCCCAUAUGGGCCGUGCCCCGACGCAUGCCAGACUGGAGGAGGUGAGGCCACUGGGCCCAGGUCUCUGCUCAGUGUGGGGAUGGAGACAGGAGCGAGGCCAGUCAGGUUUAAUAAAGGAAGUCGGGGGGCACUGACAGAACUGUGCUCAGCACACAGAGGGACACCAGGAGAGACAGAGCAUUGUGAGUGAGGGCAGAAGGAGGUCAGGGCAGCUUAACAGACGAGGUGCCCCCUGGUCAGACACAUACACACACGUAAACAUACACAAAGCUCCCCACCAUUCCACACACACACACAAAUACGUACUCCACUCUAACACUCACACAAUAUCCACACUCACACAUGCAGAUUUAUGUAUCCGGAAUUGGUGGGUUCUUGGUCUCACUGACUUCAAGAAUGAAGCCGCGGACCCUCGCAGUGAGUGUUACA
rnacentral:lncRNA from 1 species